AAGGCUCAGUAACACGUGGGUAACCUACCCUAUGCUGGGGGAUAAGCUCGGGAAACUGAGAAUAAUACCCCAUAGUCCACUACGCCUGGAACGGUGAGUGGAUCAAAGCUCCGGCGGCAUAGGAUGGGCCUGCGGCGUAUCAGGUUGUAGGGGGUGUAACGUACCCUCUAGCCAUCCACGCGUACGGGUGUUGGGAGACAUUGCCCGGAGAUGGAUUCUGAGACACGAAUCCAGACCCUACGGGGUGCAGCAGGCGCGAAAACUUGGCAAUGCGAGAAAUCGUGACCAGGGAACUCCAAGUGGCAGGGGUAAGACCCUGUCUUUUUCCGACUCUAAAUAGGUCGGCGAAUAAGGGGUGGGUAAGGACGGUGCCAGCCGCCGCGGUAAUACCGGCGCCUCAAGUGGUAGUCGCUUUUAUUGGGCCUAAAACGUCCGUAGCCGGUCUGGUACAUUCGUGGGUAAAUCAACUCGCUUAACGAGUUGAAUUCUGCGAGGACGGCCAGACUUGGGACCGGGAGAGGUGUGGGGUACUCUCAGGGUAGGGGUAAAAUCCUGUCAUCCUGAGAGGACCACCUGUUGCGAAGGCUCCACACUAGAACGGAUCCGACGGUCAGGGACGAAGCCUAGGGGCACGAACCGGAUUAGAUACCCGGGUAGUCCUAGGUGUAAACGCUGUGGACUUGAUGUUGGGGACGCUCCGAGCGUUCUCAGUGUCGAAGCGAAGGUGAUAAGUCCACUGCCUGGGGAGUACGGUCGCAAGGCUGAAACUUAAAGGAAUUGGCGGGGGAGCAC
rnacentral:rRNA from 1 species